UAGUCUUCAUUUCUCCUCCCAAAGGUUUGCAGAAGUCAGUGAAUAAAGGAAGACAAAAAACAAAUAAAAAAAUGUGGUGGUGAUUGCAAAUUGGGUGCCCACCGUGACAGGAAGCAAUGUUGAAGAUGCUGUGCUGGAUUUGCUCCAGAUAUGACCCUUUGCCAGAAAAGCAGCGUGAGAUCGGAGGGAGAAAAAUGCUGAACUGAGAUGUUGAGCUCUGUGCUCG
rnacentral:lncRNA from 12 species